UACGAAGGGGGCUAGCGUUGCUCGGAAUCACUGGGCGUAAAGCGCACGUAGGCGGCUUUCUAAGUCAGGGGUGAAAUCCUGGAGCUCAACUCCAGAACUGCCUUUGAUACUGGAGAGCUUGAGUCCGGGAGAGGUGAGCGGAACUCCGAGUGUAGAGGUGAAAUUCGUAGAUAUUCGGAAGAACACCAGUGGCGAAGGCGGCUCACUGGCCCGGUACUGACGCUGAUGUGCGAAAGCGUGGGGAGCAAACAGG
rnacentral:rRNA from 1 species